rnacentral:tRNA from 1 species
ACCCGGGUGGCUCAGUCUGUUAAGCGUCUGACUUCGGCUCAGGUCGUGAUCUCACGGUUCGUGGGUUCGAGCCCCGCAUCGGGCU